AAGUCGUAACAAGGUCUCCGUUGGUGAACCAGCGGAGGGAUCAUUACCGAGUUU
rnacentral:rRNA from 1 species